UACAGAGGGUGCGAGCGUUAAUCGGAAUUACUGGGCGUAAAGCGUGCGUAGACGGUUUCGUAAGUCGGGUGUGAAAGCCCCGGGCUCAACCUGGGAAUUGCAUUCGAGACUGCGUAGCUAGGGUGCGGAAGAGGGAAGCGGAAUUUCCGGUGUAGCGGUGAAAUGCGUAGAGAUCCGGAGGAACACCAGUGGCGAAGGCGGCUCGCUGGGCUCUACCUGACGCUGAGGCGCGAAAGCGUGGGGAGCGAACCGG
rnacentral:rRNA from 1 species